rnacentral:rRNA from 1 species
AACGAACGCUGGCGGCAUGCCUAACACAUGCCAGUCGAACGAGACCUUCGGGUCUAGUGGCGCACGGGUGCGUAACGCGUGGGAACCUGCCCUUAGGUUCGGAAUAACUCCCCGAAAGGGGUGCUAAUACCGGAUAAUGUCUUCGGACCACAGAUUUAUCGCCUUUGUAUGGGCCCGCGUUGUAUUAGCUUGUUGGUAGGGUAAAAGCCUACCAAGGCGACGAUCCAUAGCUGGUCAGAGAGGAUGAUCAGCCACACUGGGAGUGGGACACGGCCCAGACUCCUACGGGAGGCAGCAGUGGGGAAUAUUGGACAAUGGGCGAAAGCCUGAUCCAGCAAGGCCUGGUGAGUGAUGAAGGCCUUAGGGUUGUAAAGCUCUUUUACCCGGGAUGAUAAUGACAGUACCGGGAGAAUAAGCUCCGGCUAACUCCGUG